rnacentral:rRNA from 1 species
GAGAUCCUACGGGGGGCAGCAGUGGGGAAUAUUGCACAAUGGGGGAAACCCUGAUGCAGCAACGCCGCGUGAGUGAGGAAGUAUUUCGGUAUGUAAAGCUCUAUCAGCAGGGAAUAGAAAAGAAGGUACCUGAAAAAGAAGCCCCGGCUAACUACGUGCCAGCAGCCGCGGUAAUACGUAGGGGGCAAGCGUUAUCCGGAUUUACUGGGUGUAAAGGGAGCGUAGACGGAAAGGCAAGUCAGAAGUGAAAGCCCAAGGCUCAACCAUGGGACUGCUUUUGACACUGUCAAACU